AGUCACCAAGCUACGCAUUUGCGCAGAUUACUCUACGGAGGCGCGUGGGAAGAAAGAAGAGCUCUCGAGCGCGUGAAAUAUAGAUCUCGUGAUGUUUAAAGAUGUAGAAACAAACUCAACAAGUUAUUCGAUUGGAGUUUGACUUUGGCUCUAAAAGAGAUCUGUAUGACUCUUUGUCCGUAAGUGAGUCCCACCACCACACAAGCUUAAUCAGUUUGCUUACUAUUUUAGAUUUUGUACAAAUCUCUUCUACUUUUGUGGUCCUCUCCACUCCUGCUCUGCCACGUGCUUCACUCUGAUACAAAUUUAUUGUAUUUUAAAGUACAAAAUGUUUUGUUACUUGUCUUAUUUUUUUGGUUGCCUUGGCUCAUAACAAGUAA